GGUGCAGGUGAUUAGAAGCAAGACAGGGACAUCAGAUCCCCUUCAGAGGGGAGUGAUCGACUAAGUCUCAAUGGGAAUCUCUCUGAUGCAUU
rnacentral:snoRNA from 1 species